AGAGUUUGAUCAUGGCUCAGGAUGAACGCUAGCGGCAGGCUUAACACAUGCAAGUCGUGGGGCAGCGCGGGUAGCAAUACUUGGCGGCGACCGGCAAACGGGUGCGGAACACGUACGCAACCUUCCUCAGAGCGGGGAAUAGCCUCUCGAAAGAGAGAUUAAUACCCCAUAGUAUCUUGAUGUCACAUGGCAAUGAGAUUAAAGCUCCGGCACUUUGAGAUGGGCGUGCGGCUGAUUAGGUAGUUGGUAGGGUAACGGCCUACCAAGCCGACGAUCAGUAGCUGAUGUGAGAGCAUGAUCAGCCACACGGGCACUGAGACACGGGCCCGACUCCUACGGGAGGCAGCAGUGAGGAAUAUUGGUCAAUGGAGGCAACUCUGAACCAGCCAUGCCGCGUGGAGGAUGACGGUCCUCUGGAUUGUAAACUCCUUUUAUAAAAGAAGAAACCCCAGUAUUCUUACUGGGUUGACGGUACUUUAUGAAUAAGCACCGGCUAACUCCGUGCCAGCAGCCGCGGUAAUACGGAGGGUGCAAGCGUUAUCCGGAUUCACUGGGUUUAAAGGGAGCGUAGGUGGAUUGGUAAGUCAGUGGUGAAAUCCCCAAGCUUAACUUGGGAACUGCCAUUGAUACUCUCAAUCUUGAAUACUGUGGAGGUAAGCGGAAUAUAUCAUGUAGCGGUGAAAUGCUUAGAUAUGAUAUAGAACACCGAUAGCGAAGGC
rnacentral:rRNA from 1 species